rnacentral:rRNA from 1 species
UACAGAGGUCUCAAGCGUUGUUCGGAUUCAUUGGGCGUAAAGGGUGUGUAGGUGGCGCCGUAAGUCGGGUGUGAAAUUUCGGAGCUUAACUCCGAAACUGCAUUCGAUACUGCGGUGCUUGAGGACUGGAGAGGAGACUGGAAUUCAUGGUGUAGCAGUGAAAUGCGUAGAGAUCAUGAGGAAGACCAGUGGCGAAGGCGGGUCUCUGGACCACAACUGACGCUGAGGCGCGAAAGCUAGGGGAGCAAACAGG